GGAGUGUUACAGUCAAUAUCAUCAGCAUCUUGGUGUAUAUAUAUGGGUGUGGUGCGGUCAAUAGUCUGGUCUACAGUCUUUUGUAAAUACCUUUGCACACAUGGAACCACACAACAAGUUAGAAAGAGGAAGAAGAUCAUUAUGAUAAGAACUGCCAUCCCUAUUUGGAAAAGAGUUCUUUGCCAGCCACUCAUCCAUCCAAACCAUUUAUCCCAAGAAUUGGGAACCCCUGAAUUCUUCUUUAAUUCGUCAGAGAGAUUUUCUAAUUUCUCUAUUGCCAUAGUCACUUUACCAUUAGGACCGGUAUUGUCUGGGAUAAAGGUACAACACGUCAUCGUUUCGGGGAGUAUUUUACAUACGCCCCCCUUUUCGGCCAAAAUCAUGUCUAAGGCUAUCCUAUUUUGGAAUGUUAUGUG